GGCGCCAUAGCCAAGUGGGAAGGCAGGGUUCUGCAAAAACCUUACUCGCGGGUUCGAUUCCCGCUGGCGCCU
rnacentral:tRNA from 1 species